AUGCAGGUGCCCAAGUCGAGGAUCCCUUUCUGCCCAGCUUGUGGAAGUCCGACGAAAUUGGCCGUACCAGACGGGGAUGAGAAGAUGAGGGCUGUCUGUUCUUCUUGUGGGAGAGUGCACUACGAGAACCCCAAAAUGGUUGUGGGUUGCCUUGUGGAGCACGAUAACAAGGUCCUCCUUUGCAGAAGAAAGAUUGAACCGGCUUAUGGCCUUUGGACUCUUCCUGCUGGUUAUUUGGAAGUCGGAGAGUCUGCGGCGGAAGGAGCCUCAAGGGAAACGUUGGAAGAAGCUUGUGCAGAUGUAGAGAUAGUCUCACCUUUUGCUCAGUUGGAUAUUCCGCUAAUUGGCCAAAGUUACAUUAUUUUCCGAGCAAGAAUGAAGACCCCCAGUUUCUCACCUGGAUCCGAGUCGCUAGAAUGUGAACUUUUUGCUCUGGAUGAUAUACCAUUUGAUUCUCUAGCAUUUUCUUCAAUCAUCGUCACUUUGAGAAUGUAUAUUGAAGAUGUCAAGGCUGGAAACAUCAAAUUCCAUUAUUGCACAAUAAACAAGAGGAUCGGGGCCGGCCCUUCGGAUCUCCGUAGCUUUGAUAUCGACAACCAUUUAGCCGUGUGA
rnacentral:rRNA from 1 species